CUGCAACUCGCCUGCAUGAAGUCGGAAUUGCUAGUAAUCGCGGAUCAGCAUGCCGCGGUGAAUACGUUCCCGGGCCUUGUACACACCGCCCGUCACACCAUGGGAGCCGGUAAUACCCGAAGUCAGUAGUCCAACCUCGUGAGGACGCUGCCGAAGGUAGGAUUGGCGACUGGGGUGAAGUCGUAACAAGGUAUC
rnacentral:rRNA from 1 species